GAUGAACGCUAGCUACAGGCUUAACACAUGCAAGUCGAGGGGAAACGACAUCGAAAGCUUGCUUUUGAUAGGCGUCGACCGGCGCACGGGUGAGUAACGCGUAUCCAACCUGCCCAUCACUUGGGGAUAACCUUGCGAAAGUAAGACUAAUACCCAAUGAUAUCUCUAGAAGACAUCUGAAAGAGAUUAAAGAUUUAUCGGUGAUGGAUGGGGAUGCGUCUGAUUAGCUUGUUGGCGGGGUAACGGCCCACCAAGGCAACGAUCAGUAGGGGUUCUGAGAGGAAGGUCCCCCACAUUGGAACUGAGACACGGUCCAAACUCCUACGGGAGGCAGCAGUGAGGAAUAUUGGUCAAUGGGCGAGAGCCUGAACCAGCCAAGUAGCGUGCAGGAAGACGGCCCUAUGGGUUGUAAACUGCUUUUAUAAGGGAAUAAAGUGAGAGUCGUGACUCUUUUUGUAUGUACCUUAUGAAUAAGGACCGGCUAAUUCCGUG
rnacentral:rRNA from 1 species